CAGCCGCCGCGGGAAUACAGAGGGUGCAAGCGUUAAUCGGAAUUACUGGGCGUAAAGCGCGCGUAGGUGGUUCGCCAAGUUGGAUGUGAAAUCCCCGGGCUCAACCUGGGAAUUGCAGUGGAUACUGGGUCACUAGAGUGUGGUAGAGGAUAGUGGAAUUUCCGGUGUAGCAGUGAAAUGCGUAGAGAUCGGAAGGAACAUCUGUGGCGAAGGCGACUAUCUGGGCCAACACUGACACUGAGGCACGAAAGCGUGGGGAGCAAACAGGAUUAGAUACCCCAGUAGUCCCUGUCUCUUAUAA
rnacentral:rRNA from 1 species